GGGAAUGUGGCUCAGUGGUAGAGUACUUGCUUAGCAUGCAUGAAGCCCUGGGCUCAAUUCCUCAAUACCA
rnacentral:tRNA from 1 species